rnacentral:rRNA from 1 species
UACAGAGGUCUCAAGCGUUGUUCGGAUUCAUUGGGCGUAAAGGGUGCGUAGGUGGCGAGGUAAGUCUGGUGUGAAAUCCCGGGGCUCAACCCCGGAACUGCACUGGAUACUGCUUUGCUUGAGUACUGGAGAGGAGAUUGGAAUUUUACGGUGUAGCAGUGAAAAUGCGUAGAUAUCGUAAGGAAAGACCGUGGCGAAGGCGAA